rnacentral:lncRNA from 1 species
UGCUCACAGUGUGAUUUGAAAACCAUUUCCCGUUUGCUCAGGCGUCAAAAAACUGGUCCUUGGACUAAUACAGGUCGUCGAUACAACGGGCUAGAAGCCUAGAACAAAAUCAAAAGGAAAUUAACUAUACCAUUUUCUGCAGCACAACAGACUUUACUCGAAGCCAGUAUGUUGGUUGAUUUUUUGCGAUUGUUGCCACGAAAUAAAUUUUCCCAGUCGUCCUUGUGGAUGGUUUCCAUUCAAAACUUAGCAUAUUGUUUUCCUUCAGAAUUUCGCUGUGUGUUACCGCAGCCAAC